AGUCAGGAGGACUUGAGUUCAAAUCUGGCCUCAGACCAAACACUUGACACUUACUAGCUGUGUGACCCUAGGCAAGUCACUUAACCCCAAUUGCAAAAAAAAAAAAAGAGUUGUACACGACUGCAAUCUCUGAACAAUGAUAAAAUGUGGUACCAGGUACUCUGAUAGCCUUUGGGGGUACACAUACAAAAAAGAAACCGUUUCUGCCCUCAAAGAGCUUACAUUCUUCUUGGGGGAAAUAAUAUGUAUUGGACUUAGGGUCAGAGAACUUCAUUUUGAAUCCUGAUCCCACCCAUUUAUUACCUUAUUAUGUGACCGUGGACAACAUGAGUAACCUCUCUGGAUCUCAGUUUCCUUGUUUAUAAAAGCAGGUUGGAUUGACUAGGUGACCUCUGAGAUCUCUUCCAGUUCUCUGUCUGUCAUCCUGAAAUCCUCCCUUACCCAGGGCAAUGAUGGCCGUGUCACCAGUGUACUUGGCCCAAUCCAGAGAUAUGAUUGACUGUAUGUUCAGGACAUGUAAUGAUGGUGGAGCCUUCCUACAAAUACUGCACUAAGGAAAUGCACAGUUGCUGGAGUUCUCCACAGAGCCCUCUAUUAGAAGACUUUGUCAUGGUAUGGAAGUUCGACACAUCUGCCACCGGAGUGCUACAGAUGGUUCAACUCAUUAGCCUACAGAACUCUAACCGAACAUCACGAGGAGACCUGGGAUCUCACUUGGACUAAAUAUUAAGCUUGCCUCCUGUUCAAUGUCAUUACAUUCCUUUUUUUUUUUUAAAUAAAAAGCUAACCCACCCCA
rnacentral:lncRNA from 1 species